UUUUCAUGGUGUUUUGCUAUAACUGUGUGCAAGUUAAAGAAUCGUAUUUUGACUGUGAAGAUUGCUUCUGGGGAAUGACUCUGCCGUUGAUUGAGAAGCAGGCUAAAGUGUUCUACGGUGUUAAUAAACAUCUGUUAAGGAAA